AGAGCGAACCUGGCGGCAGGCCUAAUACAUGCAAGUCGAACGGCUCUUCGGAGCAGUGGCGGACGGGUGAGUUACGCGUGGGAACGUGCCCUUUGGUUCGGAACAACACAGGGAAACUUGUGCUAAUACCGAAUGUGCCCUUCGGGGGAAAGAUUUAUCGCCAUUGGAGCGGCCCGCGUUGGAUUAGCUAGUUGGUGGGGUAAAGGCCCACCAAGGCGACGAUCCAUAGCUGGUCUGAGAGGAUGAUCAGCCACACUGGACUGAGACACGGCCCAGACUCCUACGGGAGGCAGCAGUAGGGAAUCUUGCGCAAUGGGCGAAAGCCUGACGCAGCCAUGCCGCGUGAAUGAUGAAGGUCUUAGGAUUGUAAAAUUCUUUCACCGGGGAAGAUAAUGACGGUACCCGGAGAAGAAGCCCCGGCUAACUUCGUGCCAGCAGCCGCGGUAAUACGAAGGGGGCUAGCGUUGCUCGGAAUUACUGGGCGUAAAGGGCGCGUAGGCGGACAGUUUAGUCAGAGGUGAAAGCCCAGGGCUCAACCUUGGAAUUGCCUUUGAUACUGGCUGUCUUGAGUUCGGGAGAGGUGAGUGGAAUGCCGAGUGUAGAGGUGAAAUUCGUAGAUAUUCGGCGGAACACCAGUGGCGAAGGCGACUCACUGGCCCGAUACUGACGCUGAGGCGCGAAAGCGUGGGGAGCAAA
rnacentral:rRNA from 1 species